rnacentral:piRNA from 1 species
UGAAUGGGAAAGUGCCAUCUGCCUCUAC